rnacentral:rRNA from 1 species
GACGAACGCUGGCGGCGUGCUUAACACAUGCAAGUCGAACGGUAAGGCUCCAGCUUGCUGGGGUACACGAGUGGCAAACGGGUGAGUAACACGUGGGUGACCUGCCCUGCACUUCGGGAUAAGCCUGGGAAACUGGGUCUAAUACCGGAUAGGACCGCACCGUGAGGGUGUGGUGGAAAGUUUUUUCGGUGUGGGAUGGGCCCGCGGCCUAUCAGCUUGUUGGUGGGGUAAUGGCCUACCAAGGCGGCGACGGGUAGCCGGCCUGAGAGGGUGGACGGCCACAUGGGGCCGGGGCACCGGCCCGGCCUCUUCCGGGGGGAAGCGGUGGGAAUAUUGCACAAUGGGCGGAAGCCUGAUGCAGCGACGCCGCGUGGGGGAUGACGGCCUUCGGGUUGUAAACUCCUUUCACCAUCGACGAAGGGUUUCUGACGGUAGAUGGAGAAGAAGCACCGGCUAACUACGUG